UCCGAGUUGUCCCCGGCAGUCUCCUACGAGUCCCCACCACUACGUGCUGGCAACAUAGGACGAGGGUUGCGCUCGUUGCGGGACUUAACCCAACAUCUCACGACACGAGCUGACGACAACCAUGCACCACCUGUGUACGAGUGUCCAAAGAGAACCCCAUCUCUGGGGCUUUCUCGUACAUGUCAGGCCUUGGUAAGGUUCUUCGCGUUGCAUCGAAUUAAUCCGCAUGCUCCGCCGCUUGUGCGGGCCCCCGUCAAUUCCUUUGAGUUUUAGCCUUGCGGCCGUACUCCCCAGGCGGGGCACUUAAUGCGUUAGCUACGGCACAGAGCCCGUCGAUAGAGCCCCACACCUAGUGCCCAACGUUUACGGCGUGGACUAC
rnacentral:misc_RNA from 1 species